rnacentral:lncRNA from 1 species
UUUAUAUUUUUGUAUUUUUAAUUAACUUAUAAUUUUACAUUUUUUUAUUUUUAAUUAUUUUUUAUUACUUUUUAUGAUUUUGUAAUAGUGACUAACGUCACCAUAACAUGACACACCCCGACUCGGAAUGUCAAUUAUGACUCCGAAUCGAGCUGUGAUGGCCAAAACCUAAAAGAUGACGAAGCUAUAAAGUGUAGUAAUGUGGAUUUGUGAAUAAACUUAAACCUAAAAGUGCCUAAAUAUAAGAAUGCGAUGUGAGCGGAAAUGAACUCAUUGCACACGUGAUUACAAAGCAUAAGUAAAUUACAGUAAGGUAAGAUGAGGGUUAUACCAUCAUAGGUGCCUAUACUGAGGUAUGCCAAGAAUCCUCUCGAUACGGAAGCUCAGCUACUAAAACCUGGAGGGACGAAAAAUAGAAGGGUGAGUGGGCAAAAACAAAGCGUUUGAAAAACAUAUUUAUCUUUAUGAACAUAAUAACCCAUCUCCGUAAAACCCGUAUAGUUUCCAGAAAAUACUAUUACGUAGGUAUGAAAACCAAUGCACAAGAGCAGUGAAAACUGAAGUAUGCCAUGUCAUAAUAUCUCAGCAAUAUAAAAUAGUAUGUCAGUCGGAGUCACCUAACGUGACCUGUACGACUAGACCUAUAGCUCAUCAAUCUAGGCUAACACACGAGUUGGAGUCACCGUGUGGCUUGUAUGACAGGAUGGGUAUAAAUAUGUAUGCUCAAGUGCUACGAUCACGUGAAGGUUGUGUGAUAAUUCACGGGUCACCUACGAGUCGGAACCACCUAUUGUGGUCUAUACGACAGGCUGGCACCAGACUUGGAUCCAAGUUGAGCGUACGGUGCAGGAGGUGAACAAUCACGUGAAUGUUAGCCCUAGCCCCGGGCAAGAGCACUAAUACCGGGUGCAGCCAUGAUGAGCUCUAAAUAAAUGUAUGCAUACCAAUGCAAUACAAACCCAUUCAAUCACAUAAUACUCACCUGAAGCUUGCCUGAGUCUCCGCAGCAUCACACAAUACAAUUCACAAGUGUAACAAUGCAAUAUUUAAAAUGUAACUUAUUUACAACAUGGCAAGCAAAGCAUAGUUCUAUAUAAAAACGUUUCUGGAAACUAUAUGUAAAUAUAUUAACAAUGCAAUAUUUAAAAUGUAACUUAUUUACGACAUGGCAAGCAAAGCAUAGUUCCAUAUAAAAACAUUUUUGGAAACUGUAUAUAAAUAUAUAUAUAUAUAUAUAUAUAGAAAACAAAUUCUCAUUCACAGUUCAUGCCCGAGUCGAACCCGCCUCAUAGCAUUGAGAGUCCUUGACACACCUCGACCGAGAUCAAGCCAUGCUGGCCGUCACGUGAGAGUGACGUAGCCAUGUGCACAGUGCGGAAGCGAUAACGAUAAGAAUUAUACGAAUAAUUAGAAACUGAAUUACUAGAGUGCACUACUAAACAGAAAGUGAUAGGAGUUAGUUAUAACAGUAAACACUCCUAAUCAGAG